AUGGCUUCACCAUGGAAACACUGCUGCAUCCUCCUCCUCUCUCUCCUCAUCCUCCAUCUGCAGUCGUCUACCUGCCUCGACAGACAGUCUGCUGACAGUGCUGCUGUCUCUCCAGUUCAAGAUGACGGGAUGACACAGAGUGGUGGAGGGAUGUGGGUGGAGCAGAGUUUGAUAGCUGCAGACGAGCCGUCCAGACAACAGCAGUCUCCAGAUGUUUCGCGGAGGAAGUUGCUUCAGGUGCCAGGAGCUGCUCUUCCCUUCCCUCCUCUCAAGGUGUUGUCCAACGGGCAGCCGUGCGUCCUGUUCCAGGCCAGGAAGUUGUCUCUCCGAUAUGAGAGGCAGAAGCAGCUGGACCUGACGGAGAGAACCUUCUCCCCUCAGAAACCUGUCGACACCAGCCAGUCCGUCUGCCGCCAGGACAAGGCCACGUUGGUCAUGAGGUUUGGAGAUGUGGAGGAUUUGCGAGGCCUCUCCAUCAGGUCAGUAACACAAUCUAUAAACCACUGGUGGAAUGUAACUAAGUACAUCUACUCAAGUUGUGUGCUUCAGUACAAUUUUGAGGCACUUGUACUUUAUUUUAUUAUACUGUAA
rnacentral:lncRNA from 1 species